rnacentral:rRNA from 1 species
GCACUCUAAGGAGACUGCCGGUGACAAACCGGAGGAAGGUGGGGAUGACGUCAAGUCCUCAUGGCCCUUAUGGGUAGGGCUUCACACGUCAUACAAUGGUCGGAACAGAGGGUUGCCAACCCGCGAGGGGGAGCUAAUCCCAGAAAACCGAUCGUAGUCCGGAUUGCACUCUGCAACUCGAGUGCAUGAAGCUGGAAUCGCUAGUAAUCGCGGAUCAGCAUGCCGCGGUGAAUACGUUCCCGGGUCUUGUACACACCGCCCGUCACACCAUGGGAGUGGGUUUUACCAGAAGUGGCUAGUCUAACCGCAAGGAGGACGGUCACCACGGUAGGAUUCAUGACUGGGGUGAAGUCGUAACAAGGUAGCCGUAUCGGAAGGUGCGGCUGGAUCACCUCCUUUC